UACGUAGGGUGCAAGCGUUGUCCGGAAUUAUUGGGCGUAAAGAGCUCGUAGGCGGUCUGUCGCGUCUGCUGUGAAAACUCGGGGCUUAACCCCGGGCCUGCAGUGGGUACGGGCAGACUAGAGUGCGGUAGGGGAGACUGGAAUUCCUGGUGUAGCGGUGAAAUGCGCAGAUAUCAGGAGGAACACCGGUGGCGAAGGCGGGUCUCUGGGCAGUAACUGACGCUGAGGAGCGAAAGCGUGGGUAGCGAACAGG
rnacentral:rRNA from 1 species